GGCAAAAGCUCAAAUUUGAAAUCUAGUACCUUCGGUGCUCGAGUUGUAAUUUGUAGAGGGAUACUUUGGGGCCGUUCCUUGUCUAUGUUCCUUGGAACAGGACGUCAUAGAGGGUGAGAAUCCCGUGUGGCGAGGAGUGCGGUUCUAUGUAAAGUGCCUUCGAAGAGUCGAGUUGUUUGGGAAUGCAGCUCUAAGUGGGUGGUAAAUUCCAUCUAAAGCUAAAUAUUGGCGAGAGACCGAUAGCGAACAAGUACAGUGAUGGAAAGAUGAAAAGAACUUUGAAAAGAGAGUGAAAAAGUACGUGAAAUUGUUGAAAGGGAAGGGCAUUUGAUCAGACAUGGUGUUUUGCGCCCUCCGCUCCUUGUGGGUGGGGGACUCUCGCAGCUCACUGGGCCAACAUCAGUUUUGGUGGUCGGACAAAUCCGUAGGAAUGUAGCUUACCUCGGUAAGUGUUAUAGCCUGCGGGAAUACGGCCAGCCGGGACUGAGGACUGCGACUUUUGUCAAGGAUGUUGGCAUAAUGGUUAUAUGCCGCCCG
rnacentral:rRNA from 1 species